GGUGAAGGCAUUAUAUAUAUUCCGUGUUAAGCAUCUCUUCAUUGCAUCGUGUCGCUCUCCCUGACUGACUGAGAGUUAUUCUGGUAGACUCUGUAGCACCAUGGGCUGGAAGUGGCAGAUGGUGGCGAUGGUGGCGGUGGUGCUGGCAGUGGUGGUGGAGCUGGGGAAGGUGGAGGCAAUGGAUAUUGGAGGGGGUCUCCUUCCUCGCCGUCCUCCUCAUUAUCCUCCUCCUUUUGUUGGUUAUCAAAGUAACGAAGGAGCAGUAGACGCAGUGAAAGGAGUAAAGGGUCGUCAAGCCAGAAGUCUUGAAUCCAUUAUAGAGAUUGUUGUAAAGGGCUUUGAUAUCGCCAGGGAAGUAGUGACGGAAUUCGUUACUAACGUCCAUGAGAUGGCAAAGAAAAUCAAAGAGUCGAAACAACACUGAGGAAAAGCCAUCACAAGAACAGUAAAUAUCGUGAACAUUGUCACCAGAAAAUAAAAGAGUAACAUUAAUAGCAUUAACCUGUCCACUGUUGCCAAGCCAAGAGCUGGGCCGCGUCACCAUAACCACCAAGCCUCGUCUACACUACAUGCAUGUAUAUGCUGCUUGACGAGCGUCUCCAAGUCAUUGCUUGACUCAUUCCUUUCAUACCUCCCACUUGUUAACUCUGGAAUUCUCGACCUGUUUCUCAUUUCAUUCUUUUUGUCGACUUGCUGUGUUUCAUAAGAUUAAUAUGAAUACUCCUAUGAAAUGAAUUUCUGUAAUUAGAUCUUGAGAAUGCUAUAUUGAAUACCCUUUUAUUACUGUGCCCUUGACCAGAUUACUGGACACAUAAUGAAAAGAAUAUCAAUAAAUAUUUGCACACAA